CGGGUCGUGCGCCGGUCUCAGGAGCGGACGCGCUUGCGGAGCACGUCGAUGCGCGACUGAAGCUGCGUCACGGUCGCCUGCGCGACGGCCGGGCC
rnacentral:tRNA from 1 species